rnacentral:rRNA from 1 species
GACGAACGCUAGCGGCAGGCCUAACACAUGCAAGUCGAACGGUAAGGCGCCUUUGGGCGCACACGAGUGGCGGAUGGGUGCGUAGCGCGUAUGCAACCUGCCCCGCGCCGGGGGAUAGCCCGGGGAAACCCGGAAUAAUACCCCGUGGCGCCGCGGCCCCGCAUGGGGCCUUGGCGAUAGGCCUUCUGGCCGGCUCGGGAUGGGCAUGCGUGCCAUUAGCUAGUAGGUGCGGCAACGGCGCACCUAGGCGACGAUGGCUCGGGGGCCUGAGAGGGUGGCCCCCCACACUGGGACUGAGACACGGCCCAGACUCCUACGGGAGGCAGCAGUGAGGGAUAUUGGUCAAUGGGCGGAAGCCUGAACCAGCCAUGCCGCGUGCCGGAUGGAGGCCCUACGGGUCGUAAACGGCUUUUGGCCGGGAGCAAUAAGGGGGGCUUGCCCCCCGAUGCGCGUACCGGCCGAAUCAGCACCGGCUAACUCCCGUGCCAGCAGCCGCGGUAAUACGGAGGGUGCGAGCGUUAUCCCGGAUUUACUGGGUCUAAAGGGCGCGCAGGCGGCCGUGUAAGUCGGCGGUGAAACCCCGGGGCUCAACCCCGGGCCUGCCGCCGAUACUGCGGGGCUCGAAUGGGGCCGAGGGCGGCGGAACGCGUGGUGUAGCGGUGAAAUGCUUAGAUAUCACGUGGAAGGCCGAUUGCGGAGGCAGCUGCCCGGGCCUUUAUUGACGCUGAGGCGCGAAAGCGUGGGUAGCGAACGGGAUUAGAUACCCCGGUAGUCCACGCCGUAAACGAUGAGCACCGGCUGCCGGGCCUUUUGGGCCCGGUGGCUGCGCGAAGGCAUUAAGUGCUCCACCUGGGGAGUACGGCCGCAAGGCUGAAACUCAAAGGAAUUGACGGGGGCCCGCACAAGCGGAGGAACAUGUGGUUUAAUUCGAUGAUACGCGAGGAACCUUACCUCGGGCUCGAACGCCGAGUGCAUGGGCCGGAGACGGCCCUUCCCUUUAGGGCCCUCGGCGAGGUGCUGCAUGGUUGUCGUCAGCUCGUGCCGUGAGGUGUCGGGUUAAGUCCCAUAACGAGCGCAACCCCCGCCGCCAGUUGCCAUCGGGUGAUGCCGGGGACUCUGGCGGGACUGCCGGCGCAAGCCGCGAGGAGGGCGGGGACGACGUCAAAUCAGCACGGCCCCUACGUCCGGGGCGACACACGUGUUACAAUGGCCGGUACAGCGGGACGCCACCCCGCGAGGGGGCGCGGAUCCCGAAAGCCGGCCCCAGUUCGGAUCGGAGUCUGCAACCCGACUCCGUGAAGCUGGAUUCGCUAGUAAUCGCGCAUCAGCCACGGCGCGGUGAAUACGUUCCCGGGCCU